CUUUGUCAUCGAGUUAUCGGUGCCUGAUGCUGCUUCGUAGCGGCUUUCAAGGCUUAAAAGGGAAGUUGGUGUAACGCCAGCGCUGUCCCCGCAACUGUAAGUCUUACCUAAAAUCGGUUCAAUCUACAUGACCACUGCGCUGACCGCCAGCGUGGGAAGGUCCGAUCCGAUAAGACGAGCCAGGAGACCUGCCGAAGACCAUCCGUUGUU
rnacentral:ncRNA from 2 species